rnacentral:rRNA from 1 species
AUACGGAGGAUGCAAGCGUUAUCCGGAUUUAUUGGGUUUAAAGGGUGCGUAGGCGGUUUGCUAAGCGGGAGGUGAAAUGCCGGCGCUCAACGUCGGAAGUGCCUCCCGAACUGGUGGACUUGAAUGACUCUGCCGUGGGAGGAAUGUGUAGCGUAGCGGUGAAAUGCUUAGAGAUUACACAGAACACCGAUUGCGAAGGCAUCUCACGAAGGGUUGAUUGACGCUGAGGCACGAAAGCGUGGGGAUCAAACAGGAUUAGAUACCCUGGUAGUCCACGCAGUAAACGAUGAUGGCUAACCGCUGGGCUUAUCAGUUCAGUGGCCAAGCGAAAGCGAUAAGCCAUCCACCUGGGGAGUACGACCGCAAGGUUGAAACUCAAAUGAAUUGACGGGG